CAGCCGCCGCGGUAAUACGUAGGUGGCAAGCGUUGUCCGGAAUUAUUGGGCGUAAAGGGCUCGCAGGCGGUUUCUUAAGUCUGAUGUGAAAGCCCCCGGCUCAACCGGGGAGGGUCAUUGGAAACUGGGAAACUUGAGUGCAGAAGAGGAGAGUGGAAUUCCACGUGUAGCGGUGAAAUGCGUAGAGAUGUGGAGGAACACCAGUGGCGAAGGCGACUCUCUGGUCUGUAACUGACGCUGAGGAGCGGAAGCGUGGGGAGCGAGCAGGAUUAGAUACCCGCGUAGUCCCUGUCUCUUAUAC
rnacentral:rRNA from 1 species